rnacentral:misc_RNA from 1 species
GAUGAAGAACGUAGCAAAAUGCGAUACUUGGUGUGAAUUGCAGAAUCCCGUGAACCAUCGAGUUUUUGAACGCAAGUUGCGCCCGAAGCCUUUUGGCCGAGGGCACGUCUGCCUGGGCGUCACGCAUCGCGUCGCCCCCCACAAUUCUCCGUAAAGGGAACAUGUGUUUUGGGGGCGGAUAUUGGUCUCCCGUGCUCAUGGCGUGGUUGGCCGAAAUAGGAGUCCUUUCGAUGGACGCACGAACUAGUGGUGGUCGUAAAAACCCUCGUCUUUUGUUUCGUGCUGUUGGUCGCAAGGUAAACUCUUUAAAAACCCCAAUGUGUCGUCUCUUGACGACGCUUCGACCGCGACCCCAGGUCAGGCGGGACUACCCGCUGAGUUUAAGCAUAUCAAUAAGCGGAGGA